rnacentral:sRNA from 1 species
GUCCUUUUGAGAAAAUUCCUAGGACCUCUGCUCUGGAGAUAGCACUUGCCCAAUCUUAUAGGCCCACUGGGUCUAGUUUCUUUGGACUGAGACACCUGAGGGCUUCUCAGUCUGGAGGAGAGGAGCUGGGGGCUGAUAAUCUAAGUCCAUAAUGGAGGCUCCACCCCUUCCCGCUGCUUCUGUAUCUUGCAGGAACCUAGGGAAGUCUGGUCUUCGGGUAUCCUGUCUUGGCCUAGGUACCUGGGUCACAUUUGGUUCUCAGAUCUCAGAUGAGACAGCAGAGGAUGUGCUGACUGUAGCCUAUGAGCAUGGUGUAAACCUGUUUGACACCGCUGAAGUGUACGCAGCAGGAAAGUAAGGACUGGGGUGAAAGAGCUAAGCUCCAUUUGGAAGGCUGAGAGGACCCCAGGGAUUAUCUUCUCGUUUUCCCUCUAAAGAACCCUGGGACUUCUGAGAACGUGAAGUUCCAACCCUUUGACGGAGGGACCCUAAAGCGUUGUAGGAGUUACAGUCCCAACAUUAGUCCCUCUCUGGCUUAGAAGUCAAUGGGCAUACUGUGCAGUUACAUUAA